ACAUCCAAACUUGCAAAGGCGUUGCAAUAACCGAGUCCAUUCUCUUCAUCGCGUGAGCUGAAACAUCUGGACUAGAAAAGUGCUUAUCCAAAUCAUCUUGCAAUGCGCGACAUCACGUUUUCUCAUGUGAGUUGAAACGGUAAUGGAGAAAAGCACUUCUCCUGGAAAAAACUAGAAUGCGUAAUUCGCUCUUCACUCUAUCAUCAUUGUCGCGUGCUAAGGUGCUUCGACACAAACAUGAAGAAACGAUCGAACUCCAACAGUAACACGUUCGUCUCGGCCUCGCGUUCAUUAUGUUUCAGCGGAACUCUGCGGUUCCGCAUCCUCCAUUCACAUCGCUUUGCUAUCUCACGUAAUCAGAAGAAAAACAUAAUCGAAAGUGAACUGAAAACUCACCAGAUUUAACCGAUUUGUGGCUCAUGCAUUGCAUCUUAGUUUUGUAGGGUGUGUGAGGUCCUGACUUGCACCAAUGGCCCAGAUGCAAUAGGUCUUAUUUCAUGUUGAUUUGGACUUGAGUCAAGGCAUUGUUUAGAAGGUUUUGGUUUGGCUUCUGUAGCAGGAAUUCAAAUGGCCAGCAUUGUGGUUCAAUUGGUGUUUUUGGCUGGCACUGAUGAUAGAGCUGUUAGGGUUUGUUAGUUAGGAUUAGUGAAAUUAUAAGCUUGUGUCAGUUUUGUUUAAGUUUAGAUGAUUAUUGUGAAUGCUGUGUGAAGUUUUCUAAAUGGCUAUGAUUUUGAAUGUUGGUGUUA